AUUGAACGCUGGCGGCAGGCUUAACACAUGCAAGUCGAGCGGAGAUGAGGUGCUUGCACCUUAUCUUAGCGGCGGACGGGUGAGUAAUGCUUAGGAAUCUGCCUAUUAGUGGGGGACAACAUUCCGAAAGGAAUGCUAAUACCGCAUACGUCCUACGGGAGAAAGCAGGGGAUCUUCGGACCUUGCGCUAAUAGAUGAGCCUAAGUCGGAUUAGCUAGUUGGUGGGGUAAUGGCUCACCUAGGCGACGAUCCCUAGCUGGUCUGAGAGGAUGACCAGCCACACUGGAACUGAGACACGGUCCAGACUCCUACGGGAGGCAGCAGUGGGGAAUAUUGCACAAUGGGCGCAAGCCUGAUGCAGCCAUGCCGCGUGUAUGAAGAAGGCCUUCGGGUUGUAAAGUACUUUCAGCGGGGAGGAAGGCGGUGAAGUUAAUAACUUCACCGAUUGACGUUACCCGCAGAAGAAGCACCGGCUAACUCCGUGCCAGCCGCCGCCGUAACAC
rnacentral:rRNA from 1 species